GAAUCGGAUGUUACGUAGAUUGUAGGUCGUAUCUUGUUAUGAGUCGUGUAUUGCUGGCGUCAUUUAAUUUGGUAUUUGAAUUGGAAUUUUACGUACUUUUAGGAGCCUUGAAAACUGAAAGUGUAGCACAAAGACAAACUUCGAAAGUAAUUUGAAGUAUACGUAUUGGUUUUCGUGAAGAGCAAAAGAAUUUUUAUGUGAUUCUUUCCCGCUCACAGAAAUUGGUGAAAGAAUGGUUCGAACAAAAAAGACUGUAUGUAGUCCUUCACUGACUAAGAGCUCAAAGGCUAGCAAUACCAAAUCUAACAAUGA